rnacentral:rRNA from 1 species
AAAUUGAAGAGUUUGAUCAUGGCUCAGAUUGAACGCUGGCGGCAGGCCUAACACAUGCAAGUCGAACGGUAACAGGAAACAGCUUGCUGUUUCGAUGACGAGUGGCGGACGGGUGAGUAAUGUCUGGGAAACUGCCUGAUGGAGGGGGAUAACUACUGGAAACGGUAGCUAAUACCGCAUAACGUCGCAAGACCAAAGAGGGGGACCUUCGGGCCUCUUGCCAUCGGAUGUGCCCAGAUGGGAUUAGCUAGUAGGUGGGGUAACGGCUCACCUAGGCGACGAUCCCUAGCUGGUCUGAGAGGAUGACCAGCCACACUGGAACUGAGACACGGUCCAGACUCCUACGGGAGGCAGCAGUGGGGAAUAUUGCACAAUGGGCGCAAGCCUGAUGCAGCCAUGCCGCGUGUAUGAAGAAGGCCUUCGGGUUGUAAAGUACUUUCAG